CCCGAGGCUGCCGCGCUCCCUGCGCUGUCCCGGGACGUUAUCCCACGCUGCUGGUAAAUGCGGAUGCUGGCGCUGGUGGGAUGCUCAGCCGUAACGCCUGAAAAGCUUCUGCGCCCGCAGGUGGGAGCUGCGUAAGGAGAUGCUGUUUAAUCCGGCAGCUUUGCCACAGUUUUGCUUUUUGGUGGUUGUUGGUGCCAUCCGGCUUUGUUUUAUUGUUUUUCUCUCAGCAAGAGCGGCGUAGGAAACGUUAGAACAGGUGUUAGGCCGUGUUUGUGUUUUAAAGGCAUUUCAUAUUGCGGUUCACAUCUGCAUAAGGAAAGCCAAAGAGAGGUAUUGCAGGUUAUUGUGGGAAAUUUACAGUUUAAGCAUGGCACUUAAAUAGAAACCCCUUCUGCUCAAGCUUGGGCUAUUACUGUAUUAUUCCCAGCCUCCAUCUGUGCCUGCUGCUCCAACGUGCUGAGUGCCUGCAAUUACUUCCAGAAGAAGUUCAGCCUCUGUUUGAAAGCACCCAUUUCCCUCUGGCUCGAUCUGUCCACGGCUUUCAUCCAAAAAAGAUCUCAAAGUGCUUUUCGAGCUGCGUGACUCUGAACCAGGGGAUGCGGCAGUUCCCGGGGGGGGCCCGGCUGCCGGGCAGCCGAAAUGGGAUGUUUUUUCUCCCAUCAGGUGGGUUACACUCAUUCUCUACAGCAAGUGCUGCUUUAUAUUUAUUCGCGUGAUUUCUCUGCAUAAACCACAUGGGUAAGUAAGUGCCAUGCAGCUGAGCAGCAUUUGUACCUAACAAGAGCCUGCAAAUUUCAGCAUCUCCCCACCCUUCCCCUGCGGUUUGCUGCAUUGUUUGCUGAAAUAAUGGUUAAUGUGGUGCUCGAUAAAAGUGCCGAAGCUGGGAGCUGUGGCAGAGCUGCCUCUCCACGUGCCCAAGCAGGCACCGCAGUGAGCGGUGGGAUGGUUUCUUCAGCCGCUCCUGGGCUAUCCCAGGGGCAUGAAGCUGCUCUGCAGGCACUCGGUGUGAUCCCGAGCAGCUUCAAACCAGCCCCGUGGCAUUGCACUUCCCAAAAAUGUUUUCCCCGCUGCUGGGAUGUCUGCCCGGAGGUGGCUGUGCCCAGGCCAGAGCACGCACCGGUGGGGUGUUCCUCAGGACCUUUGCCAGUGCUGGGGCCUCGUAUUCCUGCAGAAAAGAGCAAUUCCCACGUGCUGCUACUGUGAAAGCUGCUCCUCCGUGCACAGUCCCGCAUCCCUCUGGGUCGCUCCGGCUCCCAUCCAUCCCGGGGAGUGGCUGGGCUGGGGCAAACACUACCUGAAACGGGCUGAGUGCUGCUGCUUCUGAGGGUUUUAUUUAUUUAUGGAUUUCUUUUGCCAGGUCCAGCCUAGCUCCCACCCCCCUGCUUGUCGGGUGGUGAGCCACCAGGAUGGAUGCAUGGGGACAACCCAGUGUCAUCUGGAGGAGCAGCAAUGGCUCCGGCACACUCUGCAGCGCGAUCACCCGCCUGUGGGGCUGGAGUGCCACUUUGCCAUCAAAUUAGACUCGAGAAGUCAUAAAAUUAUUGCGGUAACA